UCCUUUCGUACACCUUCCACCUCCAGGCUGAGAAAAACUCCUCAGUGGGAUUGAGGAAGGGGGAAUAAGGUGGAAGGUAUAAAAUGGAAAACCGUGGGUGGUCCUGAAACCACUCAUACACCUGGGUAGCCUUGUGGAAACUUACUUUUAUGCUGCAGUCCCUGAUUGCAAAUUGCUCGCCACACCCGAAAGUUUAGAGAUUUGAAUAUUUGUGUGUUGUUGAUUGAAGCUUUGAGAAUUAAUGUGGAAAGUGUGUGUAAACCUGAAAAUUGUGUGUUGUGUUUUGACAGCAAGGUAAUGUGAAACUGACAUCAGAGUGUAAAGGAGGAAAAUCAGAGUUCUAAUACGAUACGGAAAUCUUAAAGAGCAAGUAACGUCUAAAUUAACUUUUUUUUACUGAUAAACUGCAUAAAUGAGUGUCUAAUAGUGUUUUAAAUGUGUGCAUCCUUUAUUUUAGCAUGUUGGUGCAUUUUCUUUAAAAAUUAAAAAUUCUGUCUAAAAACCACAGUAAUGUGCCACCUUCAGCUGAAAACAUAGAAUUUGAGUCAUUUUGAAUAAAUUUUAGCCAAUGGCUAAAGAGUAAAGUACUACGUAAACCAGUAGAGUACUACGUAGCAGCUCCGUGCCAAAGUUAUAAAAGCAACGAGCGUCUCGGCCACGCCCUGUAGCGAGUGGGAGUUGGAUUUGCAAGCGAGCGUAGGAGGUCAGCGGUAGUUCAGCAUUAGCAUAUAGCAUUAGCAUAUCCUAGUCUUUAGCAUAUCUUUUAGUGUUAUAAAUACUUAUUUAGUGUUAGAUUUGGCUGUUGGAUAUUGUAGUUUAGUUAGUGUUUGGCUGUUAGUGUAAUUGGGAAAGUAUUUUGGGUUUAGUGUUCCAUAUCGUCUUAAUAUUGGUGAGUAGGUGUAGUGUAGUAUGCUUGCGGUGACUCUGUGGGCAUUUUACCCGCGAUUCUGCACGUCUCCGUUUGAAAAGGGAGGCUGCCCACCGUGGCUCUUCCGCGAUUUAGAUGCAGCCCACCGACUCUGCUCCCCCACCACGGCGGGCUCCAGUCUGAGGUGAGUACGCUAUAAAUGUUUUAACAUCUUCUAAAGACAAUUCCCUACCUAAAUGCAAAGUCUGAGAGACGUGGUUCACUUCCUUUAGCUAGUCAGUCGGCAAUUCUGCAACAGUGUCUAACUAACGCAGCACUAGUUGACAGACAGCAUUACAGCGUGAAAUCCAGCUUGUGACCCGGUUCUGUAAGGAAUUCUGUUCAGGAGGUCACAUUUCAGGCUCUCCACAUCAUGUGUGACUGACGUUUACGUUAUAACAACGAUCACACACUAGGAAUGGUAUAAAGCGCCUAUAUAGGAGAUUCUUUUGUAUGUUAUCUGACUUUAUAAACUCCCAACAACAAUGUGCUUAUAUAUUUUUUUCAGGCUAAAUCUACCCAAGACACUGGCUGUCAGACUGAUUUAGCUGCAAGAAUGCACUUGUCCAGGCUGACAUGAAGCCUUCCCUGUAGCAAAGCCAGCCAGAAUGGAGUUCACAGCCGCAGUGUGUCUGGUGACCCACGGGGACCAUGAUAAAAAUUCAUCUUCCAGAAAGUCCCAGAGCAGCGGCCACACCCCCUGAAAAGACCAAGGUGUGAGGUGUCUGCUGUUGAUUCCAGCUUCCACCUCAGUGACAGUGCAAGCUCAGUGAACUGUUCAAGCCUGGCUGAUCACCUGAUAACUCCUGUCAUCUGGUUAUGACAGCAUGAGGAUGUCCUCACACACCUGUAACCUAUCAGCUCAUCUGGCAGAAUAGAGAGAGAAGAGACAACACCACAUCUCCUGUUCCUGGAAAGCCUUCAGCCAUCCUUCGAUGACUGAGAACCUCCAUCAGCUCUGUCUCCUGUCUGCCUACAAUUAUUAUAAUAAAUAUUGUGUUUGACAAGUUUUUUUGUGCUGCCAAAAAUCUCAUAGAUUCCAGUUUUGAUAUUUUAAUGGAUAUUUAUAAAUUACAUUAAUUGAAUUGUCACAUUGUUGCAUGUUUAACUAGCUCUAUUGUGAUGAAUUAAACUAGCACCUCACUGUUAAAAGCUCGUUUUAAUUUCAAGCAUGUUUAAGUAUUUAUGGACAUGAACAAAAACAGGAAAUAUAUAAAUUGAGAUUUAUUUAAUUAAUAUAACAAAUAAGGGGGAAAGAGUCAUUGAA